GACGAACGCUGGCGGCGUGCUUAACACAUGCAAGUCGAACGGAAAGGCCCUGCUUUUGUGGGGUGCUCGAGUGGCGAACGGGUGAGUAACACGUGAGUAACCUGCCCUUUACUUUGGGGUAACUUCAGGAAACUGGGGCUACUACCGGAUAGGCGCUCCUGCUGCUUGGUGGGGGUUGGAAAGUUUCGGCGGUUGGGGAUGGACUCGCGGCUUAUCAGCUUGUUGGUGGGGUAGUGGCUUACCAAGGCUUUGACGGGUAGCCGGCCUGCGAGGGUGACCGGCCACAUUGGGACUGAGAUACGGCCCAGACUCCUACGGGAGGCAGCAGUGGGGAAUAUUGCACAAUGGGCGGAAGCCUGAUGCAGCAACGCCGCGUGCGGGAUGACGGCCUUCGGGGUGUAAACCGCUUUCGCCUGUGACGAAGCGUGAGUGACGGUAAUGGGUAAAGAAGCACCGGCUAACUACGUG
rnacentral:rRNA from 1 species